AGCGCAAGCAGCGAAACAAGCGCACGCACGCACAAACGCCACAAACGCUGGUUGAAACUCGGCAACAUGAAGAUGGCUGACAGUGCGGGUGUUCUUCGGCGGAAUCGACCGGGAACAAAAGCCGAGAAUUUCUCAAGCUGGCCCGAUGAGCCGUUCGACGAAAUGGACAGUACACUCGCUGUUCAACAGUUCAUUCAGCAAGCGAUCCGGAAGGACCCUACAAAUGUCGAUGAAAUCUUGACGCCGCCCGAUGGCCAGGAUGAAGGAGUGUGGAAGUACGAGCAUCUAAGGCAGUUCUGCAUGGAGUUAAAUGGUCUUGCAGUCAAGCUGCAGGUAUGUGAGGCCGAGUGCAAUGCAGACAGCUGCACCCAAAUGACGGCCACGGAACAGUGGAUAUUCCUUUGCGCUGCCCACAAGACGCCCAAAGAGUGUCCAGCCAUUGACUACACGCGGCAUACCCUUGAUGGAGCUGCGUGCCUCCUCAACAGCAACAAGUACUUUCCAAGCCGAGUUAGCAUCAAAGAUUCCUCGGUAGCAAAGCUAGGUUCUGUGUGCCGGAGAGUUUACCGGAUAUUUUCUCACGCAUACUACCAUCACAGAGCCACGUUUGACGAGUUUGAGAAGCAGACUUGCCUCUGCCGCCGUUUUACCACGUUUGUGACCAAGUAUAACCUGAUGUCAAAGGACAAUCUCAUCGUUCCAAUCCUUGACGAGGAACUCACCGCUGGAGAGAGUGAAGCCUGAGACGGUCCUGCCAAAAACAAGCAGCGCGGAACAUGCACUCUGAUCUUCCUGCUCAGCAGACAUUUGCUCUUAUUGGCCGGGACGCUGGCCGCCUGGUCUCUGUCCCUGUGCAUUUCUCCCAGUAGUAUUGUUUCAGCUGUCACUUCUGCAUGUCUCACUCUUUUGGCAUGCCCUCACCGACACAGACCGAUAUCGACCUCUGUCGCGCUAGUGCCGUGUGUGUGUGCUCUAGAAGUUGUUUUAGCUGUGCACAUCCAUCCACAGCACUGUGUGUUAGCAUAGGCGUGCCAUGAUUUCUGCGUGGUGGCAGAAGUGACUGCUUGAGUGGAUUGCGUUGGGUGGAGGAAUAGUUGCUGUCUGGUAGCAUGCACAAUGAGGAGAGAGGAUUCGGGGAAAGCUGUGCUGUAUAUGUGCGAAUGCACUUUCUUUCUCCUUCUCUAUUCCCCUCUCCCUUGACUUUCUACUGUUGCUUUUCGAGUGUGGAACUGUCCAUUGGAUGAUGCGGUGAGCACGUUAUUAGAAAAAAUUGACUGCGUAUGUGAGUAUUUAGCUUUAUUAUUUAUUUUCUCCCUACACGUGCCUGUGAAGAAGUCCGAUAGUGCAAAUGCUGGUAGCACGUAGAGUACUGUGAGAUGGUUCUUGCGGUAAUGUGGAGACUGGUUCAUACUGUUAAAUAUCUUGAGAAUGCCAGCCCUUCUCCCCUGAUUAUGAAUAACUUUUUCAUAUGCGAAAACCAUGAUAUGCUGUUCAUAGCAGUUGGUUUAUGUAGUUACAUGAUCAUCAGAAUAACAACACGUGGGCUUGUGGUAUCGCCUUUUAGUAGCCAGCCUAUUUAUGUGCUGUAAAAAGAAGACUUUUGUUUUUUGAAAUGCGAAUCCCAAGUGUUAUCUUAAGUGUGUAGUUUUGGAUCUGUGCACAUGUCUGUCUUGUAAGCUCAUUUUGCAUGUGCUUGUGUCUUUUGCACAGCACUGGCCUUCUGUGUUAGAGAUGCAUAUCGUAAUUAAGUGAGGAGGUGGUAUCUAAUAGCUCCACCAUUUUCUGCCUGUAUUUAGUUGCUUCGAUUUUGUGUGCAGUUUACCCAUGCCUAGUCCAAGUAGUGCACUAAAUGUUUUUUUUUUUUUUUUUUACAUUUUGUGACGUUGAAACACAUUAGCCAAUUUCGUUGGUUACCAACUGUUGUGCAAAGGGAUAGUACUUAUUACUGACACAUGUGGCUUAAUAAAAUCCUGGUCGAGGUGUGGAUCCUUGUCUGAACAACAUUUACCAUGCUUUCGCAAAAUAUUUAGGUGACCUGCAUAAAAGAUGCAAAUGUAUCAAAGUUCGCAUGGGUCUCUUUGGGGCAAGGGCAAUGUGUUGCAAACCUGCAAUAGAAAUUUGCCUCCGAGCACUGCUAGCACUCUAAGGCGGUCUCUGAAUAGUCAUUCUACAGUGCUUCAGGAGUCAUGUAAGGCAGUGGUAAGCUUUAUUAUAAGGUGAAGCUGACUGCAAUAGCUAUAAUAAAACCUGGUGAUGACUUUUAGGGGAUGCUUAUCCUCGGAGUGGAGCUUGAAUUUUAUGUUUCACGAACCUUUGCCACUGUCGCAGAGCUUUGAAAUGACCCUGUCAAAGGGGGCCACAAGUUGGGUGCAUCAGAAAGCUUGUGUUGGGCCUUUAUUCGGCCAGGGAGUGCUGCACUUUCUAAGAAAGAGUAUGUGUUGUCAUCCAUGCACUCAAAGAGCAACCUACAGGCACUGAAGCUGUCUUUAUCUCCCACGUGUAUAAUUGCGACAAAAAUCAACUAUGGCUGUGUGUCUAAGCUAGGGUUAAAGGAUGACUAACAAAAUUUCACUUUGGGUAAAUUGGUUAUAUAUAUGAGUAACAUACUAUUGAAGCAUUCUUUUAGCAAAGCUGCAGGGCUGGUAAUUGUCCAAUUUUCUUGUCAACAUCCUUCAAAUGGCACCCAAGCAGAAAAUGGUAGUGAGCAGACCUGGCGAGCGGAUAUGGUAUAAAUCCCUGAUCAUGGCUUCAGAGAUUUUCGGCACGCCACAGGUGCCGGCCAGUCUCGGAGGUCACGCCAACUGGUAGAACGUUCCGUGUCAUUUCUGGCAAAUGCUACGGUGGUGGUAUUGUCAGUCUCGGUAUCAGAAAUGUCUAUUUUUGCUAGCUUUUCGUGACGCAUCUGUUAAUAUUUCAAGCGUGAAAUUUUGCAUGGAGGCUGCUGUAUAUCUGCUCCAUCUGAAACAAGGCCUUUCAUGUAACCUGAACUUUCGUUGCAGUUUGUCUUUUAAUAGCGUAGCAUUUAGUACCGUAUGUUGUAUUGCUGGAAGUUUUGCAUUAGCAGUGUGGCAGUUGAGCUCCCCUCGUGCUUGGUCUUCCAGGGUCUUGCAAAGCUGCUUCUUUGCUUGUUCACUGUGUACAUAUUCCUUCAGACUGCAGAAUUUGCUAUUUGUUUAUACAUAAGGUCGUAUUAAGUGUGUUGUCCCUACUGGAAUGCGAGGCUGUGCUAUGAAUUCCAACCAUUGAUGUCUGUGCUUCAGUGCACUCUUGAGCUGGAUUCACGUGAUGGAUGUGGUCGUAGUUGAAUCAGUCAGGUGACGUACGACAUCGGAUCGCAUAGCAGCUAGUAAUUAGUGUCACAGUGGAGAAGAGCAAACGACAUUGUACACCUGACCAUACGCUGACUUCCUGAAACGUAGGCAACGUUGCAAAAGUGUCGGAAUGCUGCGUGCGUUUACUUGCAGCCAUUGAGCAGCAUGAGCUACAUGUUUGUUUCGCCCGUUUCAAUUCGAUUAUGACUUGAAUUGGAUUGAAGAUGAUUGCUGCCAGACUAAGGCAGAUCACCAUCAGUAUCUUGGUAGUUCUUGCCAAAAAUUCCAGUGGUGAUUUACCUUUUGGUUGUAUCGCAAAUCGCUUUACAAUGACUGAGUGAGCACAUCGGGAAUUGGGUGAUGGAGGGUCUCCUGGAAGAAACUUGAACAUAAACGUGUGCAGCCCCCUUUUAUUUAAUU
rnacentral:misc_RNA from 1 species